UAGCCUAGUGGUUAAGGCUAAGGAUUGCCAAUCCGGAGACGGCGGGUUCGAUUCCCGU
rfam:Aedes albopictus isolate Foshan contig135890, whole genome shotgun sequence.